AAGUCGUAACAAGGUUUCCGUAGGUGAACCUGCGGAAGGAUCAUUAGUGCUUUGGCCUCCGGGCCUUCAAUCCCCAUCCUCAUACCUCUGUGAACCAGUUGGGCCCCGGCCGUCACCCUUUCAAACACUGUGUAACGAACGUCAAUGUAUAUUAUAAACCUAAUAAAA
rnacentral:misc_RNA from 1 species